AAACCAGCACCUCAAGUGGUCAGGAGGAUUAUUGGGCCUAAAGCAUCCGUAGCCUGUUCUAUAAGUUUCCGGUUAAAUCCAUUAGCUCAACUAAUGGGCCGCCGAAAAUACUGUAGAACUAGGGAGUGGGAGAGGUAGACGGUAUUCGGUAGGAAGGGGUAAAAUCCUUUGAUCUAUUGAGGACCACCUGUGGCGAAGGCGGUCUACCAGAACACGUUCGACGGUGAGGGAUGAAAGCUGGGGGAGCAAACCGGAUUAGAUACCCCAGUAGUCC
rnacentral:rRNA from 1 species